AUUGAACGCUAGCGGGAUGCCUUACACAUGCAAGUCCAACGGCAGCACGGACUUCGGUCUGGUGGCGAGUGGCGAACGGGUGAGUAAUGUAUCGGAACGUGCCUAGUAGCGGGGGAUAACUACGCGAAAGCGUAGCUAAUACCGCAUACGCCCUACGGGGGAAAGCAGGGGAUCGCAAGACCUUGCACUAUUAGAGCGGCCGAUAUCGGAUUAGCUAGUUGGUGGGGUAACGGCUCACCAAGGCGACGAUCCGUAGCUGGUUUGAGAGGACGACCAGCCACACUGGGACUGAGACACGGCCCAGACUCCUACGGGAGGCAGCAGUGGGGAAUUUUGGACAAUGGGGGAAACCCUGAUCCAGCCAUCCCGCGUGUGCGAUGAAGGCCUUCGGGUUGUAAAGCACUUUUGGCAGGAAAGAAACGUCAUGGGUUAAUACCCUGUGAAACUGACGGUACCUGCAGAAUAAGCACCGGCUAACUACGUGCCAGCAGCCGCGGUAAUACGUAGGGUGCAAGCGUUAAUCGGAAUUACUGGGCGUAUAGCGUGCGCAGGCGGUUUCGGAAAGAUAGAUGUGAAAUCCCAGAGCUUUAACUUUGGAACUGCAUUUUUUAACUACCCGAGCUAGAGUGUGUCAGAGGGGAGGUGGAUUUUCCGCGUGUAACCGCGGAAAUGCCGUAGAUUAUGCGGAGGAAUACCCGAUGGUCUAAGGCCCCCUCCCUGGGAUAACCCC
rnacentral:rRNA from 1 species